rnacentral:rRNA from 1 species
UACGAAGGGGGCUAGCGUUGCUCGGAAUCACUGGGCGUAAAGGGUGCGUAGGCGGGUCCUUAAGUCAGGGGUGAAAUCCUGGAGCUCAACUCCAGAACUGCCUUUGAUACUGAAGAUCUUGAGUUCGGGAGAGGUGAGUGGAACUGCGAGUGUAGAGGUGAAAUUCGUAGAUAUUCGCAAGAACACCAGUGGCGAAGGCGGCUCACUGGCCCGAUACUGACGCUGAUGCACGAAAGCGUGGGGAGCAAACAGG